KAGCAKSUCUGCGAAGAUGCUGAUCACUAGUUCCGUAGGUGAACCUGCGGAAGGAUCAUUASCGAGAGAGGGACUUCGGGUCCCCCGGGGAUCGCUACGGCACCCCAGCUCUUCAACCCAGUGUCUACCSACCUUUGUUGCUUUGGCGAGUGCCGGGGCGCAAGCUUCGGCCCUGACUUCGGUCAGCGAGCCCUCGCCAGAGGCCCACCACAAUUCUGUUUUCAGUGAAGUCCGAGCAUACAAACGAAUAAAUCAAAAACUUUCAACAACGGAUCUCUUGGUUCUGGCAUCGAUGAAGAACGCAGCGAAAUGCGAUAAGUAAUGUGAAUUGCASAAUUCAGUGAAUCAUCGAAUCUUUGAACGCACAUUGCGCCCCUUGGUAUUCCGAGGGGCAUGCCUGUUCGAGCGUCAUUGCAACCCUCAAGCUUUGCUUGGUAUUGGGUCUUCGCCUUGCCUCCGGGGAGGGCGUGCCCGAAAAUCAGUGGCAGUCCAGGCAGACUUCAAGCGCAGUAAAACUUUCCGCUUUCGAAGGCCUCGCCUGUGGCUAAGCCGUGAAACCCCCCAAUUUUUCAAUGAUUGACCUCGGAUCACGUAGGGAUACCCGCUGAUCUUAAGCAUAUCAU
rnacentral:rRNA from 1 species